GGCCUGAUGAUGAUGACGUUUUUCAGCUGACAUGAACAUGGUGUUCUUGAUGUGGAUGAUGUAGCAGGCAAUGGCCACACCGGCCAAGGGUCACAUGAGCAAGUGAACCAGACACUCCUACUGGGGACGGCUCAGAUGCUAGAAGACAUAUGUUAUCAUAUUAUAGGCUCAUCUUCGCUGUUAUAAGUACCACACACAACAUAUGACAUCUCAUAUUACGCCUACACAGGC
rnacentral:rRNA from 1 species